rnacentral:rRNA from 1 species
GCGGUGCGGUAAGUCACCUGUGAAUCUCUGCUUAACUGGGAGCUGCAGCGAAACUACCGUGCUGAGUGUAAAGAAGUGCGUGAAUUCCCGGUGUAGCGAUGAAAUGCGUAGAUAUCGGGAGGAACACCUGUGGCGAAAGCGGCGCACUGGACCAUAACUGACGCUGAGACGCGAAAGCUAGAAGAGCAAACAGGAUUAGAUACCCUGGUAGUCCUAGCCCUAAACGAUGAUUGCUUGGUGUAGCAGGUACCCAAUCCUGCUGUGCCGCAGCUAACGCGAUAAGCAAUCCGCCUGGGGAGUACGGUCACAAGGCUGAAACUCAAAGGAAUUGACGGGGGCCCGCACAAGCGGUGGAGCAUGUGGUUCAAUUCGACGCAACGCGAAGAACCUUACCUGGGCUCGAAGCGCAGUGGACCGGGGUAGAAAUAUCCCUUCCCCUUAAAAGGCUGCUGCGGAGGUGCUGCAUGGCUGUCGUCAGCUCGUGUCGUGAGAUGUUGGGUUAAGUCCCGCAACGAGCGCAACCCUUAUCCCUAGUU